GGGGGUGUAGUUCAAAGGCAGAACGCCAGCCUUCCAAGCUGGUCAUGGGAGUUCGAGUCUCCUCACCCUCU
rnacentral:tRNA from 1 species